rnacentral:tRNA from 1 species
GCCGAGCUGGCGGAAUGGUAGACGCGGUGGUCUUAAAAACCACUGGGGCCUCCCCGUCCGGGUUCGAAUCCCGGGCUCGGCA